AUGAACGCUGGCGGCGUGCCUAAUACAUGCAAGUCGAGCGAACGGACGAGAAGCUUGCUUUUCUGAUGUUAGCGGCGGACGGGUGAGUAACACGUGGAUAACCUACCUAUAAGACUGGGAUAACUUCGGGAAACCGGAGCUAAUACCGGAUAAUAUUUUGAACCGCAUGGUUCAAAAGUGAAAGACGGUCUUGCUGUCACUUAUAGAUGGAUCCGCGCUGCAUUAGCUAGUUGGUAAGGUAACGGCUUACCAAGGCAACGAUGCAUAGCCGACCUGAGAGGGUGAUCGGCCACACUGGAACUGAGACACGGUCCAGACUCCUACGGGAGGCAGCAGUAGGGAAUCUUCCGCAAUGGGCGAAAGCCUGACGGAGCAACGCCGCGUGAGUGAUGAAGGUCUUCGGAUCGUAAAACUCUGUUAUUAGGGAAGAACAUAUGUGUAAGUAACUGUGCACAUCUUGACGGUACCUAAUCAGAAAGCCACGGCUAACUACAUG
rnacentral:rRNA from 1 species